rnacentral:rRNA from 1 species
GGCUAACGCUGGCGGCGUGUCUUAGCCAUGCAAGUCGAGCGGACUUAUGGGGUAACUUAUAAGUCAGCGGCGGACGGCGGAGUAACACGUAGCUAACCUACCCUCUGGACGGGGAUAACCUACCGAAAGGUGGGCUAAUACCCGAUGUAGUCAUCCUGUAUAGGGGUGAUGAAAGGUGGGCUUCUGUUUACAAGCUCAUGCUGGAGGAGGGGGCUGCGGCCUAUCAGGUAGUUGGUAGGGUAAUAGCCUACCAAGCCGAUGACGGGUAGCCGGCCUGAGAGGGUGACCGGCCCGAGGGGCACUGAGAUACGGGUCCCACUCCUACGGGAGGCAGCAGGCUAGAAAUUUGGGCAAUGGGGGAAACCCUGACCCAGUGACGCCGCGUGCAGGAAGGAGCCCUUCGGGAUGUAAACUUCUGAACUAGCCGAAUAAAAGGCCUGUGGACACACAGGAGAAGAAAGUAGGACUAGGAAAAGUCCCGGCUAACUACGUG